rnacentral:rRNA from 1 species
AUUGAACGCUGGCGGCAUGCCUAACACAUGCAAGUCGAGCGGAUGAAGGGAGCUUGCUCCUGGAUUCAGCGGCGGACGGGUGAGUAAUGCCUAGGAAUCUGCCUGGUAGUGGGGGAUAACGUCCGGAAACGGGCGCUAAUACCGCAUACGUCCUGAGGGAGAAAGUGGGGGAUCUUCGGACCUCACGCUAUCAGAUGAGCCUAGGUCGUAUUAGCUAGUUGGUGGGGUAAAGGCCUACCAAGGCGACGAUCCGUAACUGGUCUGAGAGGAUGAUCAGUCACACUGGAACUGAGACACGGUCCAGACUCCUACGGGAGGCAGCAGUGGGGAAUAUUGGACAAUGGGCGAAAGCCUGACCCAGCCAUGCCGCGUGUGUGAAGAAGGUCUUCGGAUUGUAAAGCACUUUAAGUUGGGAGGAAGGGCAGUAAGUUAAUACCUUGCUGUUUUGACGUUACCAACAGAAUAAGCACCGGCUAACUUCGUG